GAUGAACGCUAGCGGCAGGCUUAAUACAUGCAAGUCGUGGGGCAGCAGGUUUGUAGCAAUACAGAUGCUGGCGACCGGCAAACGGGUGCGGAACACGUACAGAACCUUCCUUUGAGCGGGGAAUAGCCCAGAGAAAUUUGGAUUAAUACCCCAUAGUAUAAUGAAGUGGCAUCACUUUAUUAUUAAAGAUUUAUCACUCGAAGAUGGCUGUGCGGCUGAUUAGGUAGUUGGCGGGGUAAAGGCCCACCAAGCCUGCGAUCAGUAACUGGUGUGAGAGCACGACCAGUCACACGGGCACUGAGACACGGGCCCGACUCCUACGGGAGGCAGCAGUAAGGAAUAUUGGUCAAUGGAGGCAACUCCGAACCAGCCAUGCCGCGUGGAGGAUGAAGGUCCUCUGGAUUGUAAACUUCUUUUAUAUGGGACGAAAAAAGGCUUUUCUAAGUCGUCUGACGGUACCAUAUGAAUAAGCACGGCUAACUCCGUGCCAGCAGCCG
rnacentral:rRNA from 1 species